rnacentral:rRNA from 1 species
UACAGAGGAUGCAAGCGUUAUCCGGAAUGAUUGGGCGUAAAGCGUCUGUAGGUGGCUUUUUAAGUCCGCCGUCAAAUCCCAGGGCUCAACUCUGGACAGGCGGUGGAAACUACCAAGCUGGAGUACGGUAGGGGCAGAGGGAAUUUCCGGUGGAGCGGUGAAAUGCGCAGAUAUCAGGAGGAACACCGAUGGCGAAGGCAGAUCUCUGGGCCGUAACUGACGCUGAGGAGCGAAAGCAUGGGGAGCGAACAGG